AAAUCUCUCAUACCAGAGCCUUGGAGAUCCUUAUCAACAAAAUAAUUUUCACAGGAUUCUUCGAAGGCUCAUACGAGUAGAAAGACUCUGGCUGGUUGACAAUUCUUUGAAAGACUUGAGUGCCAUAAGAUUGCCAAGGUGCACCGAAUUAAAUUUAAGCAGAAAUUACUUUACAUCUUUUAAAAAAUUGCCAAAACUGCCUGCAAUUCAGCACCUGUCGCUAUCUGAGAAUAACAUUGAAACACUGAGUGGCCUUUCAAACUUGAAGCAUUCUCCACUGGAGUCCCUUGUACUGAAGUCCAAUCCAUGUGAGUUUUUCGAAGACUACCGGCUACAAGUGUUCUCCAUUUUGCCAAACCUGAAAACAUUAGAUGGAAUUCCAAAGCUCCCAGAGGAUUGGUCAACAGCAGAAGAAAGUAAUUUUUGGUUUAGCAAGUGUACAAUACUUUAGCGGUGUCUGUAUAAGUGCCUGAUCCUGCGCUUCAAGAGAAGUCGACUGUAAAUAUUAUUUGUAACAAUAAAAUAUUACAAUGACUAUUCUGUAUUUUGGUUGCAUCACAUUCUUUCCUAUUGAUUUUACUUGAGAAGAGAAAAAUUCUGCAGUGCUGUGUUACAUCUCUGCCGACAGAUCUACAGUACA